GACGAACGCUGGCGGCGUGCUUAACACAUGCAAGUCGAACGGAAAGGCCCUGCUUUUGUGGGGUGCUCGAGUGGCGAACGGGUGAGUAACACGUGAGUAACCUGCCCUUGACUUUGGGAUAACUUCAGGAAACUGGGGCUAAUACCGGAUAGGAGCUCCUGCUGCAUGGUGGGGGUUGGAAAGUUUCGGCGGUUGGGGAUGGACUCGCGGCUUAUCAGCUUGUUGGUGGGGUAGUGGCUUACCAAGGCUUUGACGGGUAGCCGGCCUGAGAGGGUGACCGGCCACAUUGGGACUGAGAUACGGCCCAGACUCCUACGGGAGGCAGCAGUGGGGAAUAUUGCACAAUGGGCGGAAGCCUGAUGCAGCAACGCCGCGUGCGGGAUGACGGCCUUCGGGUUGUAAACCGCUUUCGCCUGUGACGAAGCGUGAGUGACGGUAAUGGGUAAAGAAGCACCGGCUAACUACGUGCCAGCAGCCGCGGUGAUACGUAGGGUGCGAGCGUUGUCCGGAUUUAUUGGGCGUAAAGGGCUCGUAGGUGGUUGAUCGCGUCGGAAGUGUAAUCUUGGGGCUUAACCCUGAGCGUGCUUUCGAUACGGGUUGACUUGAGGAAGGUAGGGGAGAAUGGAAUUCCUGGUGGAGCGGUGGAAUGCGCAGAUAUCAGGAGGAACACCAGUGGCGAAGGCGGUUCUCUGGGCCUUUCCUGACGCUGAGGAGCGAAAGCGUGGGGAGCGAACAGGCUUAGAUACCCUGGUAGUCCACGCUGUAAACGGUGGGUACUAGGUGUGGGGUCCAUUCCACGGGUUCCGUGCCGUAGCUAACGCUUUAAGUACCCCGCCUGGGGAGUACGGCCGCAAGGCUAAAACUCAAAGGAAUUGACGGGGCCCCGCACAAGCGGCGGAGCAUGCGGAUUAAUUCGAUGCAACGCGUAGAACCUUACCUGGGUUUGACAUGGAUCGGGAGUGCUCAGAGAUGGGUGUGCCUCUUUUGGGGUCGGUUCACAGGUGGUGCAUGGCUGUCGUCAGCUCGUGUCGUGAGAUGUUGGGUUAAGUCCCGCAACGAGCGCAACCCUUGUUCACUGUUGCCAGCACGUUAUGGUGGGGACUCAGUGGAGACCGCCGGGGUCAACUCGGAGGAAGGUGGGGAUGACGUCAAGUCAUCAUGCCCCUUAUGUCCAGGGCUUCACGCAUGCUACAAUGGCUGGUACAGAGAGUGGCGAGCCUGUGAGGGUGAGCGAAUCUCGGGAAGCCGGUCUCAGUUCGGAUUGGGGUCUGCAACUCGACCUCAUGAAGUCGGAGUCGCUAGUAAUCGCAGAUCAGCAACGCUGCGGUGAAUACGUUCCCGGG
rnacentral:rRNA from 1 species